rnacentral:rRNA from 1 species
GACGAACGCUGGCGGCGUGCCUAAUACAUGCAAGUCGAGCGGACGGAUGGGAGCUUGCUCCCAGACCGUCAGCGGCGGACGGGUGAGUAACACGUGGGCAACCUGCCUGUAAGUCUGGGAUAACUCCGGGAAACCGGGGCUAAUACCGGAUAACUCUUUCCCUCACAUGAGGGAAAGCUGAAAGAUGGCAUCUCGCUAUCACUUACAGAUGGGCCCGCGGCGCAUUAGCUAGUUGGUGAGGUAACGGCUCACCAAGGCGACGAUGCGUAGCCGACCUGAGAGGGUGAUCGGCCACACUGGGACUGAGACACGGCCCAGACUCCUACGGGAGGGAGCAGUAGGGAAUCUUCCGCAAUGGACGAAAGUCUGACGGAGCAACGCCGCGUGAGUGAUGAAGGUUUUCGGAUCGUAAAGCUCUGUUGUCAGGGAAGAACAAGUACCGGAGUAACUGCCGGUACCUUGACGGUACCUGACCAGAAAGCCACGGCUAACUACGUG